rnacentral:tRNA from 1 species
AUGCUUUUAGCCGUAAUGGCAUUAACUUUGAAGGGGUUAAAUAACUUUAGCAUU